CUACCACCGCCGGAAAUCCCGGUCUCUGGCCAUCAGAUUUUGACACCGCGGGCACCAAAUAGUGCGGCCUGGGAUGGCGAACAAAACCCGAGCUCUAGCGUCUCCUUCCACCGCCUCCAACCCCCACACGCUCGCUGCGAAGCUUCGACACCACUAUUCCUCCACGUUCACCAACCUCCGGCCCAUUUCUUGGGUCACCGCCACCUUGGAUCGAAGCGGAGGGAUAUGAGGAGAAAAACAUAGAAGUUGCAUCGCCCACCAAUGCCGGACGAAGCCGUAGUCGCCUUCGCUGGAAUCUGGGUUUCAGCAAGGAUUAAUUCGUCGUCUCCGGCCACAUCCGAGCUGCACGACCACCAUAAAUGAAAUCAGAGCCUUAUCAUUCAUCAAAACCCUUUGGUCCCGACCUUAGUUUCCGACUAGAGCCGCCGCAUACGCUGCACGCGUCGCCGCCGAUUCGUGGACCACCGCAGCUCUGCCGCCG
rnacentral:lncRNA from 1 species